rnacentral:rRNA from 1 species
GACGAACGCUGGCGGCGUGCUUAACACAUGCAAGUCGAACGGAAAGGCCUGCUUUCCCUUGUGGAUUGCGGGUACUCGAGUGGCGAACGGGUGAGUAACACGUGAGUGAUCUGCCCCCAACUUGGGUAUAAGCCUGGGAAACUGGGUCUAAUUCCCGAUAGGACUGCAGGGUGGUGCCUGUGGUGGAAAACGAUUUUCUAGUGGUUGGGGAUGAGCUCGCGGCCUAUCAGCUUGUUGGUGGGGUAAUGGCCUACCAAGGCGGCGACGGGUAGCCGGCCUGAGAGGGUGGACGGCCACAUUGGGACUGAGAUACGGCCCAGACUACUACGGGAGGCAGCAGUGGGGAAUAUUGCACAAUGGGCGGAAGCCUGAUGCAGCGACGCCGCGUGGGGGAUGACGGCCUUCGGGUUGUAAACUCCUUUCGACCGCGAGGAAGCCACCUGGUUGGAAGGGUGGUGACGGUAGUGGUAGAAGAAGCACCGGCUAACUACGU